CUAGGAGUGUAUUGNUAUGCUUGCUUCUNCCAACGANNCAAAACCUAGAGCCCCAGGGUCCUUUAAAUAAUGCCAAACGCGUCCCAAAGUGCGGCCCAGUCCAAAAAAUCAAAUCAGAGCAGAAUCAGGGCCCGAUCCACAUCAAAUCUCCCUCAAGCGUCGCAAGGAGCUCGCCCAGGUGUGAAUUGAGGGUUUUGUAAGGCUUGAGCGCCAGUUUUGGACGCCUAAGCUACGAGCGUUUGUCGCCCGGGCGUCGUGUCCGUCGCCCAAGCGACCAGCGUCGAUUUCUAGCUCAAUGAUUUUCUCUCCUGUCGCUUGGGCUUCGGGUUUUCUCCCUCCUUGGUGCCUUUUUGUCCCCUUUUGAGAUCCUUCGUCGUGGCUUUUCACUUCUUCUUCCAGAAUUACUUCAAUCUCUGCAAAACAAGGGGAAUUUGUUAGAAAACAGUUAAAAUCAACCUCAACUCUCUUAUUCACACAAUUUACUGAAAAUAUAUUAGUUCAAGCAAGUUUAUAAGUGAAAAAGGGUGCUUUUAGUAUCAAAAUCAUAUGGUAAAUAACGGUGCUUCAAACCGUUAUCAGAACCCCAAACUUUGAACUUUGCUUGUCCUCAAGCAAACAACUGCAACUCAG
rnacentral:lncRNA from 1 species